rnacentral:rRNA from 1 species
UACGUAGGGCGCAAGCGUUGUCCGGAAUCAUUGGGCGUAAAGAGCUCGUAGGUGGUCUGUUACGUCUGCUGUGAAAACCUAGGGCUUAACCCUGGGCCUGCAGUGGAUACGGGCAGACUAGAGGUAGGUAGGGGAGAAUGGAAUUCCCGGUGUAGCGGUGAAAUGCGCAGAUAUCGGGAGGAACACCGGUGGCGAAGGCGGCUCUCUGGGACGGUACUGACGCUGAGACGCGAAAGCGUGGGGAGCGAACGAGG